CCCAUUGAAUAAUGAUUGCUUAAUCUUCCUAUCCUUUUCCUUUGAAAUUGUGCUUCACAAAUAGUAGUCAAACAAGACUACCAUUUACUCAGGCCAUGCUUUCAAUCCCACGCCUAUUGACUAAUGAUUGCUUCUUCAGGCAUGGAAAUCCCUGUGCUGACGGUGCUUGCAAAUAUUUUCAGCCAUGGAAUAUGUGAUGUAAGGUGCAGGGGAGUAUGCGUGUCCCCAUUGGCAGAGAUCCCUGCUUUUGAAAUUUUUCCGUUUAAAAUUCAGAUAUGUCGAGUUAAGUAAAAUUCAGUGGUGAAGAAAGUCUUACGAUGUACAAUUAUUUUAGUGUAAAUCUCCGUUGGAAAAAAAUCAGUUAGUAAAGAAGGAAUACAUCAUCCUUUUUGUUAUAACAAUGUUUAUGAUACUUUGUUGCAGAGAACAAAGGGGUUGUAAGAUAUAUGGCAUAACAUGAUAAAAAACAAUGAAAUCUUAGGUAAAGAGGUGAGACUCGCAUAUAUGUAGACUUAUUUUCUUCCCUGUAGAACAAUAGCUUUUGUUAGCUAAAGAGGUUAGAGUCACAUGAGUUACCUUUUGGCCAUAUUUUAAUGAUUUAUAUUAUGCUGUGUUUUUCUUAGAUAUGCUUGCUGCUCCGGUAUCAAGUGAAGAUCUUGGUUCAAUAUGCUUGUCCAGCGCCUGAAGUAUUUGGAUGAACAAUAUGUCAAUGUCAACCUACAUGAUGAUGACUUUUUCUACGCCGAGCAUUGUGAUCAAGGUAUUUCUUUCUGCACACGGAAAUUAAAAUGUGUAGAUGGAUGAAAAUGGAACAUAAAUUAAAAUGUUAUAGUUUGGAAAACACUUGUAUGCACAAAUAGUUUCUACUGGCUACCUCCAUAAGUAGAGCACAAACCUUGGUUGAUAUGACAUUAAACUGUUGGAUGACAAAAACCAAUAACUGGGAUCCGUUGGAACAAGAAACUUCAACUUGUAAUGCACAUUCGCCAUCAAUUGAUAAUAUGCCUGGGCAUUAGGUUUAUGUAAAUUAUAUCAUUAGGUAUAAUUUUUUGCUUACAAACAUGCUCUGAACUGAGAUGUGUCCAUCUGCCUACAACACCAAGAUCCAUAGAGCAGACAGGCCAGAAGAAAUAAGAUUGACCUUUUUCCGGAGAAAAGAAAAUGAAUUGCGCUAAGUUGCAAUGAUAUGUUGAUGGGAGAAACUAUUCAUGACAAGUAUCUCAAAUAUCCCAAAUGUUAGUGUAGUUACACGUAUUUCUUAGACCGUUGUUUAUAUGUUUGUAAUGUGAUAUGUUAAGAUAUCGCAAUUGUGGGUUGCAUAUUUUUCACGUGUAAGUUUAAUUUGCAUGUUCGACCAUUAGCGUCACAAUACUUAUAUAUAGCACACAAUCUUUGUGAAUAGAGGUAUGCUAAAAGCUAAGGAGAGGGCUUAUAUCUUUGUGAAUGCAUCCAUGUAGCUAGGCGAUUAACGGAGAGUCGGGUAGAAGCAUGUUGAUGAUAUAGAAUAGUCACAAGUAUACCGUUUAUUUAACAACAGUGCAUAGUCAGCAUGUAUAAUAGUCUUAUACUGUAAUAUAUAUUAUCUUACUUUUGUUGACAUCUUUUGAGAAAUUUAGUCACAACCAUUCAAGAGCUUGUUCUGUAACUUUGUAUGCAGAUGUCAAAGAAAAAAAAUCCCUGUUGUGGUGUGUGCAUUAUGAUUAUCCUUAUACAGUGGGCACAACUACUUGCUGUCCGGAUAAGCUUACUCCUUAAUACUACUCUACAUUUAGGAAUGCAGUGAGUAUGUGGUGUUUUUUUUUCUGAUGUGCAGAGUGGUGCAGUUGGAUAGUUGUUCAAGAUAAUUUUGCCUGAAGUUUUGAUAUAUUUUUAUAUUUUGAUAUAAUGUGAUCUGCCCAAAAAAUAGACAAAUAUGAAAAUUAUAUGGUCAUUGGAUGAUCUGGUUAAUUGCCAUUCAAAGACAUGAGAUCAAAAAAAUGUUUCCUUGAUGUCCACUUUUAAUGAGCUAAUAAUAAUUAUCUUUUGGCCUUGUUUUAGUUGAACCGUGCAUUGCGCAUUGCAUUCGAGGUUAUUAAUUGUUUGGGAUGAACAUUCAAUUUCUUUUCAUGUCAUUCUUGAUGAUUAGUUCCAUUGACACAAAUAUUGUUUUAGGGGACAACAAAAGUCAACCAGACACACACUAGGUUUUUUU
rnacentral:lncRNA from 1 species